rnacentral:rRNA from 1 species
AUACGGAGGACGCGAGCGUUAUCCGGAUUCAUUGGGUUUAAAGGGUGCGCAGGCGGCCGUGCAAGUCAGCGGUGAAAGCCCGGGGCUCAACCCCGGAAGUGCCGUUGAUACUGCAUGGCUGGAAUGCGGUCGAGGCGGGCGGGACCGGGGGCGUAGCGGUGCAAUGCGUAGAUAUGCCACAGAACGCCGAUAGCGGAGGCAGCUCGCCAGGCCUGCAUUGACGCUCGGGCACGAAAGCGUGGGGAUCGAACAGGAUUAGAUACCCUGGUAGUCCACGCCGUAAACGAUGGGCGCUCGUCGUCGGCGGCAGACAGUCGGCGGCCAAGCGAAAGCGAUAAGCGCCCCACCUGGGGAGUACGGUCGCAAGGCUGAAACUCAAAUGAAUUGACGGGG